AAAGCGUGGGAAGCUUUAGAGUGCAGCUCCUAACAGUGGGACAAGGAAGGACAGAGUGACACAGAAACUUGAGAUCAUCCCUGAGGAGAAUGACUGAGUGCAGACAGCUUUCCCUAGAGGAAGAGAGAAAACAGACACCUUGGAAAGGUCACACAGGCACUGCAACACUCCAGCAGUAUGAAGAGCUAUUUCCAUAUUAGAAACAGCGCUGUCUUGAUCACCUCAGACAACAACAGGGAGGAAAUGUGGAUACUAGAGAGAAUCCACUAACGAGACUACAUAAGCCGAGGGGACAAAAACAAUCAGAUCAGAAGUGGC